AGCAGCCGCGGUAAAUUCCAGCUCCAAUAGCGUAUAUUAAAGUUGUUGCAGUUAAAAAGCUCGUAGUUGAAUUUCGGGAUCAAUUUAUCGGUCGUGCCUACGGUAUGAACUGGUACAAUUGGUUUCUCCCUUCUGACGAAGCAUGAUGUCAUUAAUUUGGUGUCGUGGGGAAUCAGGACUGUUACUUUGAAAAAAUUAGAGUGUUUAAAGCAAGCAUUAGCUUGAAUACAUUAGCAUGGAAUAAUGAAAUAGGACGUUUGAUCCUAUUUCGUUGGUUUCUAGGAUCGACGUAAUGAUUAAUAGGGAUAGUUGGGGGCAUUAGUAUUCAAUUGUCAGAGGUGAAAUUCUUGGAUUUAUUGAAGACUAACUACUGCGAAAGCAUUUGCCAAGGAUGUUUUCA
rnacentral:rRNA from 1 species